GAUGAAGAACGUAGCGAAAUGCGAUAAGUAGUGUGAAUUGCAGAAUUCAGUGAAUCAUCGAAUCUUUGAACGCACAUUGCGCCCCAUGGUAUUCCGUGGGGCAUGCCUGUUCGAGCGUCAUUUACCCCCUCAAGCUCCGCUUGGUGUUGGGCGUCUGUCCCGCUUCGCGCGCGGACUCGCCCCAAAGGUAUUGGCAGCGGUCGUGCCAGCUUCUCGCGCAGCACAUUGCGCUUCUCGAGGCACCGGUGGGCCCGCGUCCAUCAAGCUCACCCCCCCAGUUUGACCUCGGAUCAGGUAGGGAUACCUGCUGAACUUAAGCAUAUCAAUAAGCGGGGA
rnacentral:misc_RNA from 1 species